GUCGACCGCCUGGGGAGUACGGCCGCAAGGUUAAAACUCAAAUGAAUUGACGGGGGCCCGCACAAGCGGUGGAGCAUGUGGUUUAAUUCGAUGCAACGCGAAGAACCUUACCUGGUCUUGACAUCCACGGAAGUUUUCAGAGAUGAGAAUGUGCCUUCGGGAACCGUGAGACAGGUGCUGCAUGGCUGUCGUCAGCUCGUGUUGUGAAAUGUUGGGUUAAGUCCCGCAACGAGCGCAACCCUUAUCCUUUGUUGCCAGCGGUCCGGCCGGGAACUCAAAGGAGACUGCCAGUGAUAAACUGGAGGAAGGUGGGGAUGACGUCAAGUCAUCAUGGCCCUUACGACCAGGGCUACACACGUGCUACAAUGGCGCAUACAAAGAGAAGCGACCUCGCGAGAGCAAGCGGACCUCAUAAAGUGCGUCGUAGUCCGGAUUGGAGUCUGCAACUCGACUCCAUGAAGUCGGAAUCGCUAGUAAUCGUGGAUCAGAAUGCCACGGUGAAUACGUUCCCGGGCCUUGUACACACCGCCCGUCACACCAUGGGAGUGGGUUGCAAAAGAAGUAGGUAGCUUAACCUUCGGGAGGGCGCUUACCACUUUGUGAUUCAUGACUGGGGUGAAGUCGUAACAAGGUAACC
rnacentral:rRNA from 1 species